rnacentral:tRNA from 3 species
UCCGGUGUAGCUCAGUGGUAGAGCAAGCGACUGUUAAUCGCUGGGUCGGGGGUUCGAAUCCCUCCACCGGAGCCA